AUGCGCGUCCUCGAUACCAUCAAGGAGUUGGGCCGGCUCACUUAUGGCGUCAUGGUCUAAUUACCGGGAUAGUUUCACAAAGUAGACGAUCUCAGAUAGGCAUUGUUGGAGCGCCGUUGUUCCGUGCUCGCCUACAAGCGGGCUCUCGUCUUACGGAACAUACGGCCAUUCCUGCUUGAUCGCCGUGUUCAAGUGUCCGAGUCGGCUUGUAAAGAGUCAGUGUUGCAACUUGGAGACUUGCUGUGCUGUAACAAACACUAUAUUAGGAUUUUAUUGUAUUUUGCAGGUUGCUUGAGAAUAAUAGUCUGAGUGGUUCUGUUCCAUACAUCAUUUGGCAAAUCAUGAAUUUUAUGGCAAUAAAAGUCUGAUCUUGUUAGACCUUAUUGAAGGUUUAUUUGAAGCUUUUACCUUGACUCAAAGUUUUGGAAUCAAUUCUGUGUGAACCACUUUGACAAGAUGUUAUGUAUGCAUUCAUAUUUGAAGCUUAGAGACAAUAAGACAAUUAUAGGUUAGAAGAUCCUGUGUGUUAGUUUCAUUCAUUUUGCCAGGAGUCACUGCUCAUAUCUUAUACUUUUUUUCUCCAAUGAUCGAGUGGUCUUCUUCAUGGAUUUAGAUUGUGUUCUCAUACCAAUUUUGAUAAUCUAUCAGAUUGUUAUCAGCCAAUACCACCCGAUGUUAUUGAAAAAAAUGAUUUAUCCACGGCAGUAAAAACUAUAUGCUUCAUCAUUGUUACUUAGAUGGAGAGGAAUCACCUGAUGUACUAGUCAAGCCCUUUGGAGGUCACAAGGUAAUUUUCUUUAUAGUAUGUAUACCCAUCAAGUGCAACUAGCACUGAACCAAAAUCUAUUGACAUCGUCCAAUAAACAUACGGUGUAAUAUAAAUGUUUAGAACAUGAAUUUUAACACUAGCUUUUGUUACUGUGGGUGUUCAAUGCUGAAAUAUCAAAGAAAAUGACAAUAUGUUUACAUAUUCAAUAAUUCUAUUGGAAGCUAAUAUUGGGAUUAGCUAAUCCUACAUUGUAACAUAUAAAUUCAUCAAAUGUGCACACAGCUUUUUUGUCUCUAGCUGAUAUUGUUGUCUUUGGUCUUUUUCCAUCGGAAGUGUCUUACAUACGAAUUAGAUCAUGAUGCUUUACUAUUAAAUAGUUUUUCAAGGAUGUUAUUUAGGUAAUAUUUAUUAGUUGUCUAUCAUGAAUGAUUGAAGGCGUUAACCCUCAUCUAAAGAACAAUUUGUUAUGUCUUUAGGUUGCUUUCUACUAUUGACAGUCUUCAAUGGCAGUUCCCAUUUGAGUCUUUUGGGUAUAUAGUACAAAGAAGAUUUUACAGAUCAACUUUAAACUGAUAUCGAACCAAUUUUAAUGAUAUUAUCAAUUAUAUUUUCAGCUUGCAGCAAUGUUCCAUGUAGAUGGGCAAACGUGUGUCUUUGCAAACCGAAUACUUGAUUUUCUCUGACUUUUGUUGCAUUUGUAUUUACAAUACUGUUCUUAUCAACACAUUAAUCUUCCAUUGUUAUUAAUUUUUUAGCAAAAAUUAUCUAAACGUCUAUUGUAUCUGGAAGUUAAACUCGAGAGCAAAUAUUUGAAUAAUUGAUUCAUUAUAUUUUGGCACAAAAAAAAAAAAAACAGAUGGAACUGUCAUGUCAGCAGCAGAAUUAAGCAUGGGAUAGAUGAGUCGUUGGAAGUAAAGUAAAGUAAACGAAAAAGGGCAAAUUUAUUCUGCUAGAAAUAUGUGUGAUCUUUGCAGAUUAAAUAUGUGUGCCGGAGGCUUAGAAUGAAGUUACAACAGAAAAACAAAAUUUUCUGCUAGAGCUAAUCAAUCCCUACACUGUAUCCUAUCCUUUCCAGCUGUAUGUUAAACUCCUACCGCCUCCAUAAUAAGUCCCGAUUUGCAAUUACGCACUUCCAAAAUGAGGUACUUCAUUAGGUCUUUUGGUCGGUGGCUAGUCGUAAAACUCAACAAACUCGGAACUGUUAUUUGUUGGGCAGCUACAUCGACUUAUUUUUUAUUGACACGUACAGAUCCCUAUCAUUUUCUUAGGUACACGUGAGAAGGGAUAUUUGAUGGGUGUAUCAACCAUGCGCCUGCCCUUUUGUUGCAAUGUCACGAGAGCCUUACUAUUUGGAUUGGAUCUAGGUAAUAUUCUGAGGUUUUUGCAGGUGUAUCAACUACUCGUUCCUUUUUGUCUAUCCUAGCUUAUUAAACUCAGUUUCUGAUAAAUACUCACUGUAUCUUAUCUUUGACAGCCAUUCUAUUGUCGAUCUUUUCUUGUCACAAUUUAAUAUUCCAUAUUUUCUACAUUGUUAUUCUUUGCCUUUGAGCUGACAGUAAAUGGAUUGAUUCUGAAAGGAUCUCCUAGCUAGCUAUUACAUCUUUGUGACUCUUUUCUCAGUGCUUGAAUUGAUCAAUUUGCACUAACCUGAAUAACUUUGCUUUUAUCAAAUCUUAUGAUUUAACAAGGCUUGAUUUGCUAUUUUUUUCAUGUCAAGGAUUACCGUUUUAGGUAUCGGAUCCAUUUUGAUGAUCGAAUCAGAUUGGUGUCCAAUCUAUCGACGUAUCAACACACGGUAUAUUGGUAUAUAUUGAUGUUUUAUAUAGAAAGAAAAAAAAAAGGAAGAAGAGAAAACAACAACGAAGGAAUAGAGGAGGAAAAAAGAAGAAAGAAAAAAAAAAAAGGAAGAAAAGGAAGCUAACUAACAGAGUAGUAAAAAUAAAAUAAAAAACUCGUGCCAAGCCUUCACAUAAAAAAAUAAAAAAAAACUCUACGGCAUAGACAAAGAAACAUCGAACCCAAAACAAAGUGUGCAAUUUAAUACACAGAUAGAGUUCAACUAACAUCAAUAUAAGUAUGUCCAACAUUAAAAAAUAAACUUGGUACCCAAAUAAUAGUGCAAC